rnacentral:rRNA from 1 species
GUGCUCGAGUGGCGAACGGGUGAGUAACGCGUGAGUAACCUGCCCUUGACUUUGGGAUAACUUCAGGAAACUGGGGCUAAUACCGGAUAGGAGCUCCUGCUGCAUGGUGGGGGUUGGAAAGUUUCGGCGGUUGGGGAUGGACUCGCGGCUUAUCAGCUUGUUGGUGGGGUAGUGGCUUACCAAGGCUUUGACGGGUAGCCGGCCUGAGAGGGUGACCGGCCACAUUGGGACUGAGAUACGGCCCAG